UACGUCAGGACCCUUCUGAUGAGGCUGCAAAGAUCAAACGCAACCCAUCUCUGCAGGAUAAGUCCCGUCCUCUGCGGGAAGAAGAUGUGAAGUCUAACGCUUACACUGUUGUCUCUCAGAGGGGAGGGGAUGUGAAGACUAACCCUUACACUGUUGUCUCUCAGAGGGGAGGGGAUGUGAAGACUAACGCUUACACUGUUGUCUCUCAGAGGGGAGGGGAUGUGUCUGAUAAGCAGGAAGUGUUGGGGGAGUAUGUGCUGCAGUUUGGUAAAUCCUUCAGGUGGCUCCUGGAAAAUGAUGUAGGCUACACCAUCUACCUACAGAACAAGGUAGAAGAGGAGGAGAAGGCAGGCACGUUCAAGCCCGAGGGCCACAGCAAGGACAGUCUGCUGUCCUUCAUUCGUUAUGCAGGGGGUUUUAAAGAAAUUGAAGACCUCCGGCAGUAUCUCUCCUCCAGGCAGCCUGCCCCCUCAGUCUCCUCAGAGGGUGAUAACCUUGUUAGUUUUGGAGCCCAGGCCAAAAACACCUGGCAGCAGAUCUGGGACAGCAGGACUGAUGGGUAUGCUGCUUUUAUCAUGGGCAGAAAGUGUGUAAAAAACAGCCAAAUGCACAAACUGCAGCAGUACCUCCUGAAGCAGCAGACCCAGCAGGGCACUAGACCAGCUCCACCCAUUCUUCAUUUGGAAGCCAGAGCAUGCCAUCAUGGAGAGAGUCAGGAACAAUUACAUCCUGCCAUGUCUUUAUGGCUGUGCCUCUUCGCAGGUUCAGUCUUCAGGUGUAGGAAGGCCAGUACUACAUCUUUGCCUCCCAACUGACCUGCAAAGUUUGUAGGCGCUAUUGGUUUGCUGACAAACCCCAGUGGCUGGAAAAAAUUCCAAGGAGGUUCACCAACAUCCUCCCAGCCUUCCUCACGUAGAAGAAGGUCCAACUGGCCUGGCUCUGCGGUUAUUAGACGCUUCCUCCAGAGCGCUUCAGUAUGGAACAAGGUCGCACCGAGGGCGGGGCUCCUGAACCUUCUCGAGACAGCUUGCAGGAGUCGUCGCAGCCAAUCAGCAGCGGCUUGCAGGCUCCAAAAGUAAUGAUGAGUCUCAUCCAGACUACAUUCCAAGCCUACUGCCUCACAAGACUGUAAAAACAGCCACUUCACUACGGCGGUUUCAAAAUGAAAAGAAGCGUCAUCAAGUCCAUGUUGCCAACACCACAGCCACCACAGCCACAAUUGACGACCUUCCGAAUCCAAACCCACCUGAAGAACACCCAACAACAGAACAGCUUUACCAGGAGAUUAAUCUUUUAAGAGAGGAAAGGGAUGCUGCCAGGAGAGAGAGGGGUGAGGCACAACAGAGAUUUAAAGCCAGCAGUUUGAAAGAGGACGACGAGAAAUGCAAAUUAAUGACUGGUGUAUCCUGGACCGUUUUUGUUGUACUUAAUGCAUUCAUCGCUCAGUUCAUUCAACUCACUCGACUCUGCAAAUUGACCUCAGAAGACCAGUUAUUCCUCACACUGCUAAAGCUGCGCCAAAACACAACAACACCUGUACUGGCUCAAAUGUUUGGACUAAAUAGAACAACAGUUAUACGUGUUUUCACCAAGUGGAUAGAUGUCAUGUAUGCCAAAAUGGCAUACCUAAUACACUGGCCUGAUAGAGAGUGCAUACAAGAUUCAAUACCAUCUGAAAUGAGAUUUCAGUUUCCCUGUCUGACAAGCAUCAUUGACUGCUUCGAAAUAAGGAUCGAGCAUCCAAAGAAACUGAAAGCUCAGUUAGUAGACCAACAUUUCAAUCUACCACUACACUACAAUCAGAAUUUAACUGAAACACUACAUUUCCCUGAUAUAACCUAAGAUUUUGUUAUGAUGUUUGUGUUUCAGUGCCAAAACCUACUCAAAUUAUAAGAAGUGGACAACAGCCAAAUAUUUAAUCGCCUGUCAUCCAUCUGGAGGCAUCACCUUCCUUUCAAAAGGCUGGGGGGGUCGGGCAUCUGAUGUCCAUAUAGUUAGGCAAUCUGGCUUUUUAUCUUCUAGCUACCACCAACCAGGAGACCAGAUACUGGCUGACAGGGGUUUUACUCUUGGGGAAGAUUUUGCUGUUCUCGGCACCCAUUUGAUAAUGCCAGCUUUCACUCGGGGCCGGAAACAGUUGCCUGGGAAAGAUGUUGAGGAGUCACGGGUGAAAUCGAACAUCAGAAUUC